UGAAGCAGAAAAAUCAAUCACCCCAUUGGCAUUUUCCAUAUGUGGCAUAUCACCAGAUCUGGCAACAAGAAAAUAUCAUCAGCAACAGAGAAAAUAAGCCCAGCGGAAAACACCAGCAGCUGAGCCAUUUCUCCAUAACAGAGGGCAGAGGAGGAGAAGGACAUUCUGCAGAAUUCACAGAAGCCACAGAGCCCCUCUGGAAUGCUGCCUUCAUAUUUGAUAUGGUAGAAUGAAGAACGGCACUUCUAUGGACAAGUAUUCUGGAAAUUUCUCUAGUUUAUUCCUUCAUCUGGCAUCCCAAGAACAAUGCCAAAAGCCUGAAAUGUCUGGUGAAACCCUAAAACCUGGCAGCCCUGGGCCUGGGUCACACAUGCAGUUAUCACCUGGAGAUUGAAGCAGAUGCCUGGAGACUCCUGAAAGGUUGGCAAACCUACUCCCUUGUCAGCAGGAGGUGCUGGGGGAAAUAACAUUUGCUGCUCUGUCUGAGUAAAUGGGACACUACAGGACACUCAGGAAUUGAUCACAAGCAAACAGCUCAUUUAGGGAUUAAUGGAUUUCAUGUUCUAGGAGAAGGGCUAGACCCUGUUAGCUGCUAAUUAUGAGCCAGCCCAGUAAUGUCGAUACAAUAAGACAUGUCAAGACACUGAUUAAUGAGUCGGCUGGGACAUCAAUUUGUUCUCCUCUGUCUCUGACCACGGGUCAUUAAUGGACUUCUUCAAUACAUAUGUACUUGAAGAAAGAAUGGGCAUCCUUCAUUAACCAUGUGGCUUUGAUAGAAGGAAAUGUUUCAUGUGCCAUGUGAGUAUUUUGGGAAGAUAAUCCGGAAUAAAUGAAUAUGUGUGUUACGCAAUGCUUUUAAUUUUGUGUUUAUGUUGCUGUUUUCUUGCCUUGAGCACAUUUUCUGACUAACUCCAUGCUAGAGCAAUGAACAUAACUGCACACACACAGGAAGGUUGCAUAGCUGU